AUAUGCUAGUAACCAUGCUAGAAUAACAGCCACAGUCUGCUAUGACCUGAAUUGAACCAGAAAAUGCAGAGUGAAGGCAGGGGGAACACGGCUCGGGGUCCUCUCUGGUCAGGCCUGGAGCCAGCGCUUGUAAACUGUGGACUAUCACCCACUGUUGAGAGGCCUCCUUUCGGCAGACUUCAGCACAGGGAUGUGGACUUGUUUCUAUGAAAGCCUGGAAUUCCUGUAGGGGUAGUGCCGUAAAACCGGAUCUUUACCUUCCUUAUUUAAAGGACUUUUUUGCGCAUAGACUGCCUGUCCUGGCCUCUCUCCCACUCUGGAAAGGAAGGGCUGAGAGAGAAAAACACACUGGAGAUGCUGUUUUGGAUGGAAACACACUCGCUGCCUGUUUCCCUGUGUGCCCAUGGUUCUUCUAGGUGCUGGGAAUAGACGAGUGAGAUGCAGACAAGGCCCCAGUCCUCACGGCACUUAUGUGCUAUGAGGAAACAAGGAAUGCACAUACCCCAUCGAGGAGGUGUCAGUCCAUCUUCAUGAGCCAAAAGGUGACAUGUGCCAAGGAAACAGGAAUAGAGCCUUGAGUGAAGCAUCAGACCAGUACAGCCGACCUGGUGGGCCUUGGUGCAAAGGGAAUGGAGCAAAGACUGGGAGGUAAUGAGGGGAUUCCCCAGGUGCUCCCCUGGGAGAAGAGAAUUCUGCCCACAGGCCCUGCCACCAGCGAGGGCCUUGCGUGCCGUGGAGUGGGAGGAACCACAAGGUGAGAAGGGUCUGAGG
rnacentral:lncRNA from 1 species